rnacentral:rRNA from 1 species
ACGAAGGCUUCGGCCUUAGUGGCGCACGGGUGCGUAACGCGUGGGAAUCUGCCCUCAGGUGCGGAAUAACAGCGAGAAAUUGCUGCUAAUACCGGAUGAUAUCGCGAGAUCAAAGAUUUAUCGCCUGAGGAUGAGCCCGCGUAGGAUUAGCUAGUUGGUGUGGUAAAGGCGCACCAAGGCGACGAUCCUUAGCUGGUCUGAGAGGAUGAUCAGCCACACUGGGACUGAGACACGGCCCAGACUCCUACGGGAGGCAGCAGUGGGGAAUAUUGGACAAUGGGCGAAGGCCUGAUCCANCAAUGCCGCGUGAGUGAUGAAGGCCUUAGGGUUGUAAAGCUCUUUUACCC